GAUGAACGCUGGCGGCGUGCCUAAUACAUGCAAGUCGAGCGAACGGACGAGAAGCUUGCUUCUCUGAUGUUAGCGGCGGACGGGUGAGUAACACGUGGAUAACCUACCUAUAAGACUGGGAUAACUUCGGGAAACCGGAGCUAAUGCCGGAUAAUAUUUUGAACCGCAUGGUUCAAAAGUGAAAGACGGUCUUGCUGUCACUUAUAGAUGGAUCCGCGCUGCAUUAGCUAGUUGGUAAGGUAACGGCUUACCAAGGCAACGAUGCAUAGCCGACCUGAGAGGGUGAUCGGCCACACUGGAACUGAGACACGGUCCAGACUCCUACGGGAGGCAGCAGUAGGGAAUCUUCCGCAAUGGGCGAAAGCCUGACGGAGCAACGCCGCGUGAGUGAUGAAGGUCUUCGGAUCGUAAAACUCUGUUAUUAGGGAAAAACAUAUGUGUAAGUAACUGUGCACAUCUUGACGGUACCUAAUCAGAAAGCCACGGCUAACUACGUG
rnacentral:rRNA from 1 species